GGAGAAAUGCCAGAGUGGUCGAAUGGGGCGGUCUCGAAAACCGUUGAUCGUAUCCACGAUCCAAGGGUUCGAAUCCCUUUUUCUCCG
rnacentral:tRNA from 1 species